rnacentral:rRNA from 1 species
AUUGAACGCUGGCGGCAGGCCUAACACAUGCAAGUCGAGCGGCGAGGCGGAGGGGUGAGUAAUGCUCAGGAAUCUGCCUGGUAGUGGGGGAUAACGUUAGGUAACGGGCGCUAAUACCGCAUACUAUCAGAUGAGCCUAGGUCGGAUUUGCUAGUUGGUGGGGUAAAGGCCUACCAAGGCGACGAUCAGUAACCGGUCUGAGAGGAUGAUCAGUCACACUGGAAAUGAGACACGGUCCAGACUCCUACGGGAGGCAGCAGUGGGGAAUAUUGGACAAUGGGCGAAAGCCUGAGCCAGCCAUGCCGCGGGUGUGAAGAAGGUCUUCGGAUUGUAAAGCACUUUAAGUUGGGAGGCGUUACCAACAGAAUAAGCACCGGCUAACUUCGUGCCAGCAGCCGCGGUAAUAC